rnacentral:piRNA from 1 species
UGGGAACGUUAGCAAGAGACACAGAUGGUA